GACGAACGCUGGCGGCGUGCCUAACACAUGCAAGUCGAGCGAGGGACUUCGGUCCCUAGCGGCGGACGGGUGAGUAACACGUGGGUAACCUGCCUCAUAGAGGGGGAUAGCCUCCCGAAAGGGAGAUUAAUACCGCAUAACAUCAUGCUAACGCAUGUUAGUAUGAUCAAAGGAGCAAUCCGCUAUGAGAUGGACCCGCGGCGCAUUAGCUAGUUGGUGAGGUAACGGCUCACCAAGGCGACGAUGCGUAGCCGACCUGAGAGGGUGAUCGGCCACAUUGGAACUGAGACACGGUCCAGACUCCUACGGGAGGCAGCAGUGGGGAAUAUUGCACAAUGGGCGAAAGCCUGAUGCAGCAACGCCGCGUGAGUGAUGAAGGCCUUCGGGUUGUAAAGCUCUGUCUUUUGGGACGAUAAUGACGGUACCAAAGGAGGAAGCCACGGCUAACUACGUGCCAGCAGCCGCGGUAAUACGUAGGUGGCAAGCGUUGUCCGGAUUUACUGGGCGUAAAGGAUGCGUAGGUGGAUAUUUAAGUGGGAUGUGAAAUACCCGGGCUCAACUUGGGUGCUGCAUUCCAAACUGGAUAUCUAGAGUGCAGGAGAGGAAAGUGGAACUCCUAGUGUAGCAGUGAAAUGCGUAGAUAUUAGGAGGAACACCAGUGGCGAAGGCGGCUUUCUGGACUGUAACUGACACUGAGGCAUGAAAGCGUGGGGAGCAAACAGGAUUAGAUACCCUGGUAGUCCACGCCGUAAACGAUGGGUACUAGGUGUGGGAGUUGUCAUGACUUCCGUGCCGUCGUUAACACAGUAAGUACCCCGCCUGGGGAGUACGAUCGCAAGAUUA
rnacentral:rRNA from 1 species